rnacentral:rRNA from 1 species
AUUGAACGCUGGCGGCAGGCUUAACACUUGCAAGUCGAGCGGAGAUGAGGUGCUUGCACCUUAUCUUAGCGGCGGACGGGUGAGUAAUGCUUUGGAAUCUGCCUAUUAGUGGGGGACAACAUUCCGAAAGGAAUGCUAAUACCGCAUACGUCCUACGGGAGAAAGCAGGGGAUCUUCGGACCUUGCGCUAAUAGAUGAGCCUAAGUCGGAUUAGCUAGUUGGUGGGGUAAAGGCCUACCAAGGCGACGAUCUGUAGCGGGUCUGAGAGGAUGAUCCGCCACACUGGGACUGAGACACGGCCCAGACUCCUACGGGAGGCAGCAGUGGGGAAUAUUGGACAAUGGGGGGAACCCUGAUCCAGCCAUGCCGCGUGUGAAGAAGGCCUUAUGGUUGUAAAGCACUUUAAGCGAGGAGGAGGCUACUGAGACUAAUACUCUUGGAUAGUGGACGUUACUCGCAGAAUAAGCACCGGCUAACUCUGUGCCAGCAGCCGCCGUAA